UACGUAGGUGGCAAGCGUUGUUCGGAAUUAUUGGGCGUAAAGGGCGCGUAGGCGGCGUUGUAAGUCACUUGUGAAAUCUCUGAGCUUAACUCAGAACGGCCAAGUGAUACUGCAGUGCUAGAGUGCAGAAGGGGCAAUCGGAAUUCUUGGUGUAGCGGUGAAAUGCGUAGAUAUCAAGAGGAACACCUGAGGUGAAGACGGGUUGCUAGGCUGACACUGACGCUGAGGCGCGAAAGCCAGGGGAGCAAACGGG
rnacentral:rRNA from 1 species